UACGUAGGGGGCGAGCGUUGUCCGAAGUUACUGGGCGUAAAGCGCACGUAGGCGGCUCGAUAAGUUGCAUCUUAAAGACAGCGGCUCAACCGCUGGGGGUGGUGCAAGACUGUCGGGCUUGAGGCAAGGAGAAGAAUGUGGAACUCCGAGUGUAGCGGUGGAAUGCGUAGAGAUUCGGAAGAACACCCAUGGCGAAGGCAGCAUUCUAGCCUUGACCUGACGCUGAGGAGCGAAAGCCAGGGGAGCGAACGGG
rnacentral:rRNA from 1 species